GGUAAGUGUGUGAGAGCAGCCAGCUUCAGGGAACUUGUUUGAGGUAGGGAUCAAACUUGUUCAGGCCAUCUCCCUGCACGGUUAGGCUGGCAGCAUGCUGCCGAGGGCUGGGCGCCAUAGGCAAGCUUUCAGGAAGCGAGCAGUGCGGAGCCAUCCAGUCUAGAGACAUCCUUGAAGUCUGGCACCCAAGGCAGCAAUCUGACUGGCAUGCAACAAUGCUAAGGACUGAGCUGUUUUUCAGGAACUUGGAGUUAGCUGUUGCCCAGCUCAUGGAUCGAAUCAAAACCCCCAGGGGCGGGCCCAAGCCUCAGCAUUUUUUCAGAUCUCACUGGAUGAUUCUGAAGUGCAAUCAGAAUGGAGAACUAUUUCUUC
ensembl:lncRNA